rnacentral:rRNA from 1 species
GACGAACGCUGGCGGCGUGCCUAAUACAUGCAAGUCGAGCGAAGUUUUUCUGGUGCUUGCACUAGAAAAACUUAGCGGCGAACGGGUGAGUAACACGUAAAGAACCUGCCUCAUAGACUGGGACAACUAUUGGAAACGAUAGCUAAUACCGGAUAACAGCAUUAACUGCAUGGUUGAUGUUUGAAAGUUGGUUAUGCUAACACUAUGAGAUGGCUUUGCGGUGCAUUAGCUAGUUGGUGGGGUAAAGGCCCACCAAGGCGACGAUGCAUAGCCGACCUGAGAGGGUGAUCGGCCACACUGGGACUGAGACACGGCCCAGACUCCUACGGGAGGCAGCAGUAGGGAAUCUUCCGCAAUGGGCGAAAGCCUGACGGAGCAACGCCGCGUGAGUGAAGAAGGAUUUCGGUUCGUAAAGCUCUGUUGUUAGGGAAGAAUGGAUAUGUAGUAACUAUACAUGUACGAGAC